ensembl:snoRNA
GCAGACUCACUCUGUUCUUUGCUGUUCACUCCAGCCUCGAACUUUUUCUGUCUGCUACAUAAACAUGCAGAAUGUAACACACACACUGUUUUUCUAAGGCUAGUGUCAUUAUGUUCUGCUACAUUACA